GACAACCUCAUUAUUCACAGGAAUGAGGCAAAGCGUUCCACCUGACAUCUAGGAGAAAACUAUUCAUGCUCGUGCUGAAUCGUGUCCAACUCUUUGCGACUCCCUGGACUGUGGCUCACCAGGCUCCUCUGUCCGUGGGAUUCUCCAGCUAAGGAGAAAGCUGCACCAACCACAGCACUCCAUGAGGCUGCGAGAGGCUUUAGAGGCGCGGGUGGGGAUGCUUGCCCCUGAAGGAUGGGGCUGCGUCAAACACAGGGCCUUCGGGGAUGGUGUGCGGUGCCACUUUGACCCUGGGACACCACACUUCUUCGUUGCACAGACCGUCCUGCGAUUUCCCAGCACGGUGGACUUUUCAGGACUUUGCCCGGGUCUCAGGGCAGCAGUGGUCCGUGGCCUUUGACUGCAGGGCGGCCCUGUGCGGAGCCCAGCUCUGUCACUGACUCGCAGCUCCGUGCUCACAGCGAGCUCUCAAAUGUCUCUGAGGCUGGG
ensembl:lncRNA